UCCUCCUUACUCAUAUUGGAUUCUAAUUUUAGUUCAUGAUGGAGUGUCGAAAUCCAUCAAAAUCUUUUUAAAGCUCUCCACAUUUUUAUUAGUUCCUGCCUGCAGGAAACUAUAGCGGAGCCUAUGACAGUUAACUCGUUAUUAAUCUGAGCAUAGACAACCAAUCAUAUUUAGUUUUGAUGCAAAUAUUUUCCAGUUUCGUUGGUUCCUACCCUGUAAAGAUGCAAAUUAUUUAUGCGAAUUAUUAUCCUCAAGUUUUUUGGCAUUGGCGUAUUGGAUACACUGGCGGUUUUCAGGGGUUUGCAGGGCUUUGUGCGGUUCUCAAUAAGAGAGAACGCACGUCUCCAGAGGCUGCAGGGUUGUCAAAACAGAAUCCUCGAUUGUUGCAGAGGUCAGAUCUAGGGAAAAUUGAGUAUGAGCGCGAGGAACAAAGCCUGCAGACAGAUGGCUAGUAGGGUUUUCAUUUUGGGCAUGCAGUCCAGAGGAAUAGUGUAAAACAAAUUUUAUGAAGGCAUGUUACAGUUUUUUAAACAUUCAACGGUUCUGGAGCACAACGUGACCUUCUUUUCCCCUUCAGAUAUCUUGCAGCGAAAUCUGCUAUGUUCCAGCAAAGCAAUCAAGGUUGGAUUUUAAUGAUUGGGCUAGGCACAAGGGGUUGACUAGUAGGCAUUGCAGCCUAGAUAAGGCCGAUGUUGGACUUGAGAGGCCAGAGCUAGCUUGGAAACAAUGGAAUCAAGUUACAAAUCUAAGAGACCAAAUUUCUGGACAGGUACUCUUCUUUAAUUUCAUACAUUAUGUUUGCAAAAUGUGAAUGCAUUGGGAAGGCAUGUGAAUUAUUAGACAAAAUGCCUCAUAAAGAUUUGGUCUCGUGGACAAUGAUUGCAGAAUAUGUGCAAAAUAGAUUAGUUGAAAGUCUUUAGAAAUUUUCAAGCCAAUGCAAUUGGUAGGCGUAAAGCAAGACUCAAACCACCUUUGCAAGUAUCCUCCCUGCCUGUGCCAAAAUGGGAGACUUGGAUAGGGUAUGGACACUCAUCAAUGACAUGACAAUUUUAUGAUUGUUCUUUUCUUUCCUUUUGAGCCGACUGUUGUUUUUAAUGAUAUUCUUUGACUGGUCGAGUAGCGUAAUGAAAUUAUAUAAUUUAUUUGUAACAAUCCUUUUGGCCAACUUCCUUUUGUGGAAUUUUAUUUUGUUGGAGCCGGCUUAGAAGGAACACUGUACACAGGGAUCAAUUUAGUAGCAAAGGGAGGAUGAUUAAGUGCACCUACAAAUUAAUCUUGAUUUCCCCCAAUCUACUGAUGUAAUCGAUAAAGUAUUUUCACAGCCUAUCAAAGGUAUUUGCAAAUUCCAUAAACCUUUAAAUAUUUUGUCAUGGUAGUAGAGCUCAUUUUGGAAGUGAUAAUUCUAAGGUGAUCCAGGUUAAGAUGCAUAGACCUGUUGAUUUGCAACAAAUCGAGGGUCAUCCCAAGGCACAGGUUUUAGUGUAUCCGACUAGCCUUUCCAUCUGUAGAGUAAAUGAAGUCAUUAACACGUUUACGGUUCCUCCUUUGCUUGUGUGAACAAGCACACUAUAUCAUGUUUUAUCACCGAACACUUGGUUUGGUUUAGUACAUUCUACCAUGAUCUCUACUGUGUAAAAUGCCUUUGAGAGCAAAGCACACAGAUUAAAAAAUUUGGCUUCAAUGCUUGGCUUUAUUUUGAUGGGAUGUUUAAAAACUUCUAAACCACAAAUGAACAAUUUAUUAAUUGUACAUUAUCUUUUUUUUGAACUUAAUGCAUGUAGUUGUUUUACAAAUAUUAGUACAAAUUUUGAUCUUGGCUAUGAAGCAAUGUUGACCAGUAAUGAUGUAACGACAAAGCUCUCAAUUUUCAUGGAUAGUUUGGCCUGAUUUGGUUGUUAUAUUGAUUGUGGUAGCCAUGUCAUAUAUUUCUUGUUCAAGUUAUUUAUUGCUUAUUAAUGAAAGGUCUUUUGUUUUGAUUGUUUGCUUAUUCAUUAUAGUAAGGAGGUCGUAUAUUUCUAUGACAAAAUUCAUUUUUGGAGUUUGUUAAUGUUGCCAAAUAGACUGCAUUAUAUGGAGUAAUGCAUGAACUGGUUAAAGUAGAAUGCAUAGCAAAGCAAUGGGAUACUUUACUAAGAUAAUCUCAAAGUGUCCUGAAGCUUGUAUUAUAGAGAUUGUGGAAUUCUUCAAGAACUUGAACUUGAGGAAGUAAAAGCAUAUUGGUCCUUGACAUGUAUGUUCUCAAUCCUUGAUAAGUUUCAGAGAUUCUAGGAUUAUUCAAGAACUUGAACUUGAGGAAGUAAAAACAUAUUGGUCCUUGACAUGUAUGAUCUCAAUCCUUGAUAAGUUUCCAACUAGAAAUGAAAAAUUUAGAGUCAUUUGACAAUGAUAACAUCACUAACAAAAUGGUAACAUUAAUCUUCACACUAAAAAUCACUUUCUUAUCCUUUGGUAUCAUCUAUAGCAGUUGAUCCCAUACAAAGCUUGUAAAUUUAAAUAAAGAGUCAAAUCCAAAAUUUUGAAUUUUGUGCUUCAUUCAAGGAACAUAAGUUAUUCCAUAAUGGUGAAAGAAAAUAUGCUUUCAUUACUUUUUGAUGUAAACUUUCAAGAAGUUGCCUUUGAAAUGACUUUGUAAUAGCCUUUACAUGGAAGAAACAAGAUACUUGCUAUAACUUAUCCAUCUCUGUUCUUCUGCACAAUAAAUUCUAGGACCAUGAAGCUUGACAAGGAUAAGCUUUUUUUUUCAUUUAUUUUUUCUUUGUAAGCUCUCUUUGAUAUUUUUUUCUUUAUGGAAACAUACUGGAGAACAUUGAACUUGAUAACACUCGAAAAAAUAUAUUGUAUGCUUGAUUGUGAGAUUUGAAACUAUCAUUGAUGACUUGAGAUCUGAUCUCAUUACCAUCAAUAAACUACAUAUAUCCCCUUUCUUGUGGAGAGAAUAUGUGCUUGUCUUCCUUGGUGAAUGGUGGUUAGUUUUUGUCAGAAUUUAGAAGUUCCAAGAGCCGGAAAAAAGCCAUUGGAAAUCUCAGCCAUCUGCAACUAAAAAUGUUGAACAAGAUUGUGUUAGAACUAGUGUUCAUUGUCUGCCUAAUUUUACCAAACCAGAACAACUUUGGCUGCUAGUAAUUUAAGAUGAUAGCCAAAUUUUCUUAGAAAACCAAAAGGGCUGAAAUUUGAAACUCUGUUCUUAGAUUUAAUUUAUUGUCAAAGUUGAGACAUUUAUGUGAUCCAGUUAGUUUGACCAUAAUAUUAAUGAAACAAGAAGAAAUAAUCAAGAACCUUCUGGUAUUUAAUUUUAUAAAACUCCUUGAUAGUUAAUUUUAUAAGGAAGCAUACAAUUAGAUGCACAAGAAGGGUCAUACUGAAGAAAGUGACCAUGUAUUAAUGAAACAAGAAGAAAUAAUCAAGAACCUUCUGGUAUUCAAAUUUUAUAAAACUUCUUGAUAGUUAAUUUUAUAAAGGAAGCAUACAAUUAGAUGCACAAGAAGGGUCAUAUUGAAGAAAGUGAUCGUGUACGAACAUAAAUGUUAAUUUCUUUCUCAUAUUAUAAGCCAUAAUCGAUAUGAAAAUCAAGAAGAAAAAAUAUUGCACAAAAACUUUGAACAAAUAGAAUUUCAAAGAGUGUAAUGAUCCUAUGACAAGAAGACUCAAAUUUUGUAAGGCUUCCAACAAUUACUCCUUGAUUAUAAAAGUAUGUUGAAGCUAUGUGUUGGGUAAUCUGAUGCGAGAACAUUUCUACUUUAUGCUUUCAUUUCACGCUGGAUGCUUGAAUCAAGUGUUUCAGAUAUAUUCAUGUCACUUGUAUUAGACUACAGAUGUCUUUUUUUUAACCAUGUGCUGUGCUAUGUAAAAUGCUGCAUUCUCAGAUUGUACUUGGAUUGAAUUUUUUGAGGAUGGUUUUAGUCAUGAUCAAAAGUUACUUUCAGUUAUGAAAAAAUUUCACAUAGUAUUUGUUGAAUUUUAAAUUGUAUUGGCAAUAGUUGCAGACAACAUUUUUAAAGCUAUUUCCUUGAACUGAAGGCCUACAGAUGCACCUCUUUCGUAUUAGCUGGGAGUUUUAGGUAAUUGACUUAAUAGACUUUAUUAGUUUUCAACUCCUGAUAAUUUGGAUUGCAUUCAAAAACUUCAAGUCGACUUCAAGCAAAUAGAUUUUAGGCCAUGGUUACUUGUAAUUGUAAGAUAAGAGAAGCUUUCAAAUCUCGCAACUAGAAAUCUCGCAACUAGAAAUCUCUUGUAUUACCACCGUCUAGUUUCUUGAUUUGAUUGUCAAGACACUGAUGAUAUUAUGAGAGCCUUGAAUAAAUGAAUGUGAAAUAAAAGUGAUUUUACCUUGAACAUAUAGUGUUUUUGCUCAUAAUAUGAUCAAAUCAGUCAUAAUUAUGUCCUUACAUAGCUAACUAAGUUGUACCUCUCCCCUUAUGUAGUUAAGUUGGUUUUAACUGUGCCCUUAUUCAGCUAGAAAACUAAUUCGCAAGGGCGUAACAAAUCUAAAUGAUGUUAUUAAUCUAUGGAUAUGUCAUUCAGCUAUUAGUAAGUAGAUCUAAAUAGUCUAAUGAACCCUAAAAUGGAAUGUAUCUCUAGAAUACUCAAUCAGGGCACUAUAAUAUCCAUGUUUAUAAUAAAGACAUAAGCAAUUUACCUAGUUGACCGAGGAAAGACUAACAAUAUAGAACCCCCAAGUUCUUGAAAUCAAGAGGGAAUUUUUGUGUGAAGGACAGGAUGAGACAAAAGGAAGGAAUGUUCUUCCAAUAGUUAGAUGAGUUUUUGUAUGCAGCAGCAAGUUCGUUGAGCUAGGCAAAAUAGAGGAAUAAUUUUUGUGCAGCAGCAGAGAAUGGAAGGUAGUUCAGUGCAGUCGCAAGGAGCUCCAAACGUGUAGAAGAACAUGGCGUUCUAAGUAGCUCCAGAAGUCUGUAAUUGGUUGCAGCUCCAGAUCGCUAAAGCUAAACUAUUUGUAAUUAUAUUGAAAUCUGAGUUUGAAGUUAUUUGAAAAUGUUUUAUGAUUUUGUAGAGAAGAAAUAUUGCCUGUCUCUAGGUAUCUGAUCUAUAAUUACAAAUAAACUAUAUCUCGUAAAUUUCUAUUUUAGCUAAUCUUCAUGUUGUUAAUCUUGCAGGGUUUUUAAUACAAAAGCUCUGAGCAGCCAGGAAGCCCACAGAAAAGCUCCGAACAACCACAAAUACUACUAAAUCAAAAAAACCAAAUGAAAUUACAUAGUUUAUUAUCAAUGUACUGGUUUAGCUCUGAGCAGCUAGGAAGCCCACAAAAAAGCUCCAAACAGCCACAAAUACUACUAAUUCAAAAAAAACAAGUGAAAUUACAUAGUUUAUGAUCAAGCUACUUGUUUUCUUCUGAGCAGCUAGGAAGCCCACAAAAAAGCUCCAAACAGCCACAAAUACUACUAAUUCAAAAAAACCAAAGUGAAAUUACACAGUUUAUUAUCAAUGUACUGGUUUGGCUAUUUUUGUCUUCAAAAUGUACAGCAUAGUUAAUAGACAAACAACAUUUGGCAAAUAUAUGUCAAUAUAUAUCUCCUCCUUCCACUUUG